rnacentral:rRNA from 1 species
AUUGAACGCUGGCGGCAGGCCUAACACAUGCAAGUCGAGCGGAUGAAGGGAGCUUGCUCCUGGAUUCAGCGGCGGACGGGUGAGUAAUGCCUAGGAAUCUGCCUGGUAGUGGGGGAUAACGUCCGGAAACGGGCGCUAAUACCGCAUACGUCCUGAGGGAGAAAGUGGGGGAUCUUCGGACCUCACGCUAUCAGAUGAGCCUAGGUCGGAUUAGCUAGUUGGUGGGGUAAAGGCCUACCAAGGCGACGAUCCGUAACUGGUCUGAGAGGAUGAUCAGUCACACUGGAACUGAGACACGGUCCAGACUCCUACGGGAGGCAGCAGUGGGGAAUAUUGGACAAUGGGCGAAAGCCUGAUCCAGCCACGCCGCGUGUGUGAAGAAGGUCUUCGGAUUGUAAAGCACUUUAAGUUGGGAGGAAGGGCAGUAAGUUAAUACCUUGCUGUCUUGACGUUACCAACAGAAUAAGCACCGGCUAACUUCGUG